UACGUAGGUGGCAAGCGUUGUCCGGAUUUACUGGGCGUAAAGGGAGCGUAGGCGGAUGUUUAAGUGGGAUGUGAAAUACUCGGGCUCAACCUGAGUGCUGCAUUCCAAACUGGAGAUCUAGAGUGCAGGAGGGGAGAGUGGAAUUCCUAGUGUAGCGGUGAAAUGCGUAGAGAUUAGGAAGAACACCAGUGGCGAAGGCGACUCUCUGGACUGUAACUGACGCUGAGGCUCGAAAGCGUGGGGAGCAAACAGG
rnacentral:rRNA from 1 species